CGAUAGGCCUAACCAUGCAAGUCGAGGGGUAGCAGGAUGUAGCAAUACAUUGCUGACGACCGGCCCUCGGGUGAGUAACGCGUAUGCAACCUACCUGCAACCGUGGGAUAACCCGUUGAAAGACGGACUAAUACCGCAUAACACAUAAAUUUCGCAUGGGAUUUACGUUAAAGAUUCAUUGGUUGUAGAUGGGCAUGCGUUCCAUUAGAUAGUUGGAGAGGUAACGGCUCCCCAAGUCAACGAUGGAUAGGGGCACUGAGAGGUUUGUCCCCCACACUGGAACUGAGACACGGACCAGACUCCUACGGGAGGCAGCAGUGAGGAAUAUUGGUCAAUGGGCGCGAGCCUGAACCAGCCAAAUCGCGUGAAGGAAGACUGCCUUAUGGGUUGUAAACUUCUUUUAUACAGGAAUAAAAAACACUACGCGUAGUGUAUUGCAAGUACUGUAUGAAUAAGCAUCGGCUAACUCCGUGCCAGCAGCCGCGGUAAUACGGAGGAUGCGAGCGUUAUCCGGAUUUAUUGGGUUUAAAGGGUGCGCAGGCGGGAAUGUAAGUCAGCGGUGAAAUUUCUACGCUCAACGUAGAACGUGCCGUUGAAACUGUGUUUCUUGAGUAUGGAUGAAGUAGGCGGAAUUCGUUGUGUAGCGGUGACAUGCAUAGAUAUAACGAGGAACUCCGAUUGCGUAGGCAGCUUACUAAGCCAUAACUGACGCUCAAGCACGAAAGCGUGGGGAUCAAACAGGAUUAGAUACCCUGGUAGUCCACGCCGUAAACGAUGAUUACUAGUUGUAUGCGAUAUGAUAGUAUGUGACUAAGCGAAAGCGAUAAGUAAUCCACCUGGGGAGUACGCCGGCAACGGUGAAACUCAAAGGAAUUGACGGGGGCCCGCACAAGCGGAGGAACAUGUGGUUUAAUUCGAUGAUACGCGAGGAACCUUACCCGGGCUUGAAAUGUACCUGAAUAAUUUGGAAACAGAUUAGCCAGCAAUGGCAGGUAUGUAGGUGCUGCAUGGUUGUCGUCAGCUCGUGCCGUGAGGUGUCGGCUUAAGUGCCAUAACGAGCGCAACCCACAUUAUUAGUUACUAACAGGUCAAGCUGAGGACUCUAAUAAAACUGCCGGCGUAAGCUGCGAGGAAGGUGUGGAUGACGUCAAAUCAGCACGGCCCUUACGUCCGGGGCUACACACGUGUUACAAUGGGUGGUACAAAGAGCAGCUACCGUGCGAGCGGAUGCUAAUCUCUAAAGCCACUCCCAGUUCGGAUCGGAGUCUGCAACUCGACUCCGUGAAGCUGGAUUCGCUAGUAAUCGCGCAUCAGCCAUGGCGCGGUGAAUACGUUCCCGGGCCUUGUACACACCGCCCGUCAGGCCAUGGGAGUCGGGGGUAUCUGAAGUGCGUAACCGCCAAGGAGCGUCCUAGGGUAAAA
rnacentral:rRNA from 1 species